ACCUGGGUGGCUCAGUAGGUUAAGCAUCUGACUUCAGCUCAGGUCAUGAUCUCACUGUCUGUGAGUUCGAACCCCAUGUCGGGUU
rnacentral:tRNA from 1 species